rnacentral:rRNA from 1 species
GCUUCUCUUGAGAGCGGCGGACGGGUGAGUAAUGCCUAGGAAUCUGCCUGGUAGUGGGGGAUAACGUUCGGAAACGGACGCUAAUACCGCAUACGUCCUACGGGAGAAAGCAGGGGACCUUCGGGCCUUGCGCUAUCAGAUGAGCCUAGGUCGGAUUAGCUAGUUGGUGAGGUAAUGGCUCACCAAGGCGACGAUCCGUAACUGGUCUGAGAGGAUGAUCAGUCACACUGGAACUGAGACACGGUCCAGACUCCUACGGGAGGCAGCAGUGGGGAAUAUUGGACAAUGGGCGAAAGCCUGAUCCAGCCAUGCCGCGUGUGUGAAGAAGGUCUUCGGAUUGUAAAGCACUUUAAGUUGGGAGGAAGGGCAGUUACCUAAUACGUGAUUGCUUUGACGUUACCGACAGAAUAAGCACCGGCUAACUCUGUGCCAGCAGCCGCGGUAAU